rnacentral:tRNA from 1 species
GGUUAUGGCUCAUCGGUAGAGCGCUCGCCUCGCAGGUGCAAGACCCUGGGUUCGAUCCUCAGCACCA